AUCACAGCUCGAGAAAAAGCAAUGGUAACUGGGCAGGCAUUGCCUCUAAAGCCAUUCUCCUCCCUGCUUAGUGUUCUGUAGCCGCUCUGAUGUUCCUUGAACAAAUCAGGUUGGGGAAGAAUGGAUGCAUUUGUCACGCAGCAAAAGGAGGCCCAAGAGGAGCGAGAGGCAUUAUCUUACAUGUUGGCAAAGCAACCGUAUUUGACUCCUCCCAUCGCUGUCCCCAUCCUGCUCCGCAGGAGUCUGGGAGAACAAGCUCUGCCCUCAGCCUGGACCCCACCUGAAGCGGACGAAAACCCAACCUGCACUCCCAGCUGGGUCACAGCUUGCAGCGCGGCGGCUCAGUCCAGCCCAGGAAGACCGGCCCAGCCCCAGAGCCAACCGCAACUGCAAGAGCCUUAAUAAAUAACUGCUUUUCUAAGCCACUGUGUUCUAGAGUAUUUGUUUAUAUGGCAUCAUUAUGGCACUAGCUAACUGAUGCACGGUCUAAGGAGA